rnacentral:rRNA from 1 species
AUUGAACGCUGGCGGCAUGCUUUACACAUGCAAGUCGAACGGCAGCGCGGGGCAACCUGGCGGCGAGUGGCGAACGGGUGAGUAAUAUAUCGGAACGUACCCAGAAGUGGGGGAUAACGUAGCGAAAGUUACGCUAAUACCGCAUACGAUCUACGGAUGAAAGUAGGGGACCGCAAGGCCUUAUGCUUUUGGAGCGGCCGAUAUCUGAUUAGCUAGUUGGUGAGGUAAAGGCUCACCAAGGCGACGAUCAGUAGCUGGUCUGAGAGGACGACCAGCCACACUGGAACUGAGACACGGUCCAGACUCCUACGGGAGGCAGCAGUGGGGAAUUUUGGACAAUGGGCGCAAGCCUGAUCCAGCAAUGCCGCGUGAGUGACGAAGGCCUUCGGGUUGUAAAGCUCUUUUGUCAGGGAAGAAACGGUAGAGGCUAAUAUCCUUUGCUAAUGACGGUACCUGAAGAAUAAGCACCGGCUAACUACGUG